CGUCUACUGGCGGUUCUCAGAUUUUCUAAAUUUUCCUACAAAGAUUACAACACGCUUACGUAUCUAAAAAUACUCCAAAAAUCUAAAAUCGAUGUUAAAAAUUUUUUUUCGGACAAUUUCGAGAUUCUGGCACGGCGAGACCGCUAUGUUCCGAUGAGGCACCGCCGUCCGCGAUAGUGGUUUACCUUGGUCUGACCAUUUUCAACUAGUUUUGACCGAUUUUAUAC
rnacentral:lncRNA from 1 species